rnacentral:rRNA from 1 species
CUUUACCGUAGCUUUGCAUUGGACUUUGACGGGACUUGUGUAGGAUAGGUGGGAGGCUGUGAGGCGUGGUUGCCAGAUCGCGCGGAGCCAACCUUGAAAUACCACCCUGGUGUCGUUGAGGUUCUAACCUUGGUCCGUGAAUCCGGAUCGGGGACCGUGCAUGGCAGGCAGUUUGACUGGGGCGGUCUCCUCCCAAAGAGUAACGGAGGAGUACGAAGGUCUUCUAAGCACGGUCGGACAUCGUGCUCAUAGUGCAAUGGCAAAAGAAGGCUUGACUGCGAGUCCAACAAGACGAGCAGGUGCGAAAGCAGGUCAUAGUGAUCCGGUGGUUCUGUAUGGAAGGGCCAUCGCUCAACGGAUAAAAGGUA